GUGGGGAAUUUUGGACAAUGGGCGCAAGCCUGAUCCAGCAAUGCCGCGUGCAGGAAGAAGGCCUUCGGGUUGUAAACUGCUUUUGUACGGAACGAAAAGGCUCUGGUUAAUACCUGGGGCUCAUGACGGUACCGUAAGAAUAAGCACCGGCUAACUACGUGUCAGCAGCCGCGGUAAUACGUAGGGUGCGAGCGUUAAUCGGAAUUACUGGGCGUACAGCGUGCGCAGGCGGUUUUGUAAGACAGACGUGAAAUCCCCGGGCUCAACCUGGGAAUGGCGUUUGUGACUGCAAAGCUGGAGUGUGGCAGAGGGGGAUGGAAUUCCGCGUGUAGCAGUGAAAUGCGUAGAUAUGCGGAGGAACACCGAUGGCGAAGGCAAUCCCCUGGGCCUGCACUGACGCUCAUGCACGAAAGCGUGGGGAGCAAACAGGAUUAGAUACCCCAGUAGUCC
rnacentral:rRNA from 1 species